rnacentral:rRNA from 1 species
CCUACGGGAGGCAGCAGUGGGGAAUAUUGGACAAUGGGGGGAACCCUGAUCCAGCCAUGCCGCGUGUGUGAAGAAGGCCCUCGGGUUGUAAAGCACUUUCAGUGAGGAAGAACGCCUGGUGGUUAAUACCCAUCAGGAAAGACAUCACUCACAGAAGAAGCACCGGCUAACUCCGUGCCAGCAGCCGCGGUAAUACGGAGGGUGCGAGCGUUAAUCGGAAUUACUGGGCGUAAAGCGCGCGUAGGUGGCUUGAUAAGCCGGUUGUGAAAGCCCCGGGCUCAACCUGGGAACGGCAUCCGGAACUGUCAAGCUAGGGUGCAGGAGAGGAAGGUAGAAUUCCCGGUGUAGCGGUGAAAUGCGUAGAGAUCGGGAGGAAUACCAGUGGCGAAGGCGGCCUUCUGGACUGACACUGACACUGAGGUGCGAAAGCGUGGGUAGCAAACAGGAUUAGAUACCCCUGUAGUC